CUUCCGUGAAGGAACACAGCAAUACUAUCUGAAGAACUAAUAGCAGGAGAAGAACUUCCCAGUGUAAAUUACCACAUGGCAUCAGCCUCCAGGCUAACAAAGCAUCUUCCUUCAUACUGAUGGAAUGGCCUGGAGAAGCUGGAGACUAUCUGUUAUGUUUCCUGUGGACGAACAGUUGCAGAAGCAUCUUUAAGAGAAAGAAUAUUCCUUCAGGAUAUGAGGAGGAAUUGACAAUACAAGUUACCUCUUUGAUUACGUUUUUAAUAUGGCUUCUUCUUAAAAGAGAAAUUUGAAGAACUUUAUUAUUGGAAAUCUCAUGACUGUGCGACGAGAGUACUAGAAUAUUGUCGAGAUUGGCAGGAGGCACCUAUGUCAUUAAUCAGAAACUUGCAGGAGCAAGCAUGGAGACAAGGGAAGGAGACCACCAGAAGUCGUGGCACUGCACAGCCUCCUGCUCAAAGCAGGCUCCACCACUCCCAGCCAGCUCAGUUAUGCCGUCUGCUGAAGUCAAAGGGAACUUCCUUGAGAUGCUACAGAAAACAUGGCAAUUGGUGCUGAUAGUGGUGACUAAAGUCUUCUGCAGUUCACGUGAACUUUCUGGGAUAUGCCUGACUGCUAUCAGGCAGCGUGAUGUGGGAGGAGCAGGCUGGCAGAGUGAGACUGACCUCGUGCUUCAGAGCUGCUGCUUAGGACAAGAUGUACAGAGCAUAUAGGGACCUCCAAGGGCACAUCUCCUGGGCCAGUUUCACCCCAAAAGAAGCAAGCUGGUGCCCAGAGGGGCUGCUCUUGACAGGCAAAUCAUGGGAUGGAAAGAGGCAGCACUCUCCUGACUUGCCUAAAACACUAACCUAAGAGGCAGUAAUGUCUUCAACUGAAAAGGCACUGAGCAAGGGGUCCAAGGGCAGAGGAGUCUUGUCCUGUGCCCAUGCCUGUGCCACCCCAUCCUGUGAGGCCCCCAGCUGCUCCGAGCUGCAGAGCCCAUCCUUGUAGUGCUGCCAAGAGAUAUCUCACCCCCAGUAAAAAAUGGCAUUUGCUUCUCAACUGCCUGUUUUCAUACGUGUGCAGCCUUCACCUUAUCUCUGAGGCAUUUUUUAAAUUCCUAGCAUUGUAGCAUUCUCCUUUGCUCUCCCAGGCAUUUCACAUAACCAUGUGCCUCCCUGCCAUGUGCUGUUAAGCAACUCUUUACUGUAUGUCUGAAGAAAAGUCUGGAACAACCUUAAUUUUCUAUUUAAAAAGCAGCUGCUGGUUUCAGCAAUUGUCCUGAGGAAUGCUUUAUAGUUGAUCUGUGUUGUGAUGUGUAAUGUUACCGAGGACAGGAUAAGCCAGUUUUGACGUCUUUGGAUAAUACUGUAUUGUGAGACAUUUCCACCUUUUCUUCUGUGGCAGAAAGAAAGUACAUGUCACUGGAGAAGGCAAGGCUUUCAAUUAAGUUCACUAAGUAUGUAUUUAAAUUUUAGGAUAGUAUCAGGUGUGCCUCAUGAAAUUGAAUAUUUAGGGUUUUUUGUUACAUGGUUCAAUUAAGGGAUUAGGAAAUAUUGACAUCAUUAAAACAGGCAAGAAAACAUUUAUUAGUCUGUCAAAAAGUAUUACAGACUCAGAUAAAUCCAUUGUAGCUCUGACCCAGAUACUGCUUUCUUGUAAUUCAGAGUGAUGGCAAGGACUGCGAAGCAAUGGAAGAGUUACAGAGACAGCUAGCUUGCUAGAGUGAAAGCACAGGCUGGCAUUUCUCCUUCAGAAAGAGAUGGGACAUGUACACACUGGGAAUUAUAUUCUUCAGUUACCCUUACCGUACAGAUGGGAUGUAUUACUAGACAACUUUGGAGAUUCCUUCUGAUGCUUUGAUUUUGUGAUUGCUCUAGUAAGGUCAACACAAACAUGCCAAAUCACAUCUGCUGAAAGUAGGGACCUGAAGUAUAAAAACUGAUGAUGGGUUAAAAUGCUUAUUCAAAAAUGUUUGGUAUAAAAUAAAAAUACUGAUGAAAGAACUUUUGCUGCA
ensembl:lncRNA